GCGCGAACUCUNGGAAAUGGGCGCAAGCCUGAUCUAGCCUGCCGCGUGAGUGAUGAAGGCCUUAGGGUCGUAUAGCUCUUUCGCCAGGGAAGAUAAUGACAGUACCUGGUAAAGAAACCCCGGCUAUCUCCGUGCCAGCAGCCGCGGUAAUACGGAGGGGGUUAGCGAAGUUCGGAAUUACUGGGCGUAAAGCGCGCGUAGGCGGACCAGUCAGUCAGAGGUGAAAUCGCCCGGCUCAACCCCGGAACUGCCUUUGAUACUGCUGGUCUUGAGUUCGAGAGAGGUGAGUGGAAUUCCGAGUGUAGAGGUGAUAUUCGUAUAUAUUCGGAGGAACACCAGUGGCGAAGGCGGCUUACUGGCUCGAUACUGACGCUGAGGUGCGAAAGCGUGGGGAGCAAACUGGAUUAGAUACCCUGGUAGUCCACGCCGUUUACGAUGAAUGCCAGUCGUCGGGCAGUAUACUGUCCGGUGACACAGCUAACGGAUUAAGCAUUCCGCCUGGGGAGUACGGUCGCAAGAUUAAAACUCCA
rnacentral:rRNA from 1 species